AUAAUGAACGAAUGUGUUUACCGGCUUCAAUAUUGUAGAAUAUUUUCGAGAUCGCCGCGUUGAAUACCAAUUAGCUGUUGGGCAUGUUGUUGAAUAAUAUGUGUAAAGAACUCUCAGUGUCGUAUUUUCGAAAUGUUUGAAAUGUUUUGAAUUUUUGAAAUGUUUGCUAUUAAUAGUUUUUUAGUCGCUUACGAAUAUACAUUUUUACUUGCUGAUUAUACUUUGUAAGUAAAAUCUAAAAACCAAUUUAAGGUUAUAUGGCGUAACAAUUACAAUUUGUUGUGGUAUAUUGUGCUCUGCAAACGUAAUAUUUGUGACUUUUGACUAUUUUGUAAAUAAAAUCGAUCCAUUUUAUUUGGCAUUGCUCCGAACUGAUAUUGAUUCGAAUCGCUCCUAUUAGGAAUUCUAAACCUCACAUCUGUACUCGCAAAUUAAUUCAUCUUAUAACUUCAAGAUAUAUAUUUUAAAGAUCCAAAUACCAGCUAUGAAGAACGUAUUUAUUUUAAUAGCCAUUGGAGUUGUGUUUGCUACCAUUAACAGUGGUGCUAUAGCUGAAGAUGACGACGAUCAAGGAGAGAAUGGAAUUGAGCUCGACAUUCUCGGUCAUACUAAUCAAAGGAGGAUGGAUCGAGUAAGAAAUUUCUGUACACGACUAUAGUCAUAGGCGCCUCGUGGAAAAGAAAGAAGCGUGAUAUUUUAUUCCCGAACAAUGAAGAUGAUAUUGCUCUUUUCCGUUGACUGUUUAAACAGCAAAAUCAGAAAAAUGCAACAAGGACCCAUCGUUUGUCACAUAUACAGUAAUGCUAUUGUCAUUUCAAUUUGACGAAAAUUAGAAAUUUAUUAUAUAUAUAUAUAUAAAUGAA